rnacentral:tRNA from 1 species
GACACAACUCUCCCUAAGACU